UCAGAAUAGAAGUAGUUAUAUUCUUCAUAAUUCAAAGAAUUUGGCGGUUAAUAAUAAUUUCAGAGGAUCCUGUGUAUUAAUUGAUAAACCACGAUAGUUUUACCUUAUUUUUAUUUGUAUAUCUCUAUUUUUGGGAAUGUUUUUUAUGGAUUUAUUUUCUUUUUGAUUUUUUCUAUAAUUUUAGGUCAAGGUGCAGUUUUAAUUAGGAUUAUAUGGGUUACUUUAUUUUUAAUUUAUUGUUUUUAUAAUUUUUUUAAUUUUAUUUUGGAUAGGAUUUGAUAGUAAUUUAAAUUAAUUAAUUUUUAUGAAUAUU
rnacentral:rRNA from 1 species